UUGCUAAUUAGCCGCUAUAGUACGUGGAAUUUGGAUUUCGCCGCUGCUAAUAAACUAUGACUUUAUUUAGUUCAUUUUGUUUUUACUAACUAUCAAAAUUAAUAGUGAAAACAGAAUUUUACGAAAAAGAAUUAGUAACAAAGCCAGUAAUGUCGGUAUUCGUGGACAAUGGUUGUAAUGAGCAACAUUCGAAUUGUUUCAAAAUGGUCGUCUAUCCUCUUGUUUUGAAUGUGCUGUUCUCUGUAGCUGGAUUUCUUUUGACGUUGAAAAUUAUUCCUGCUAUGAGAGAGAUGUUUAUCACAGCCGGAUUGAAAGGUAGAGAUUUGGGAAAGAAGGACAAACCAGAGAU